rnacentral:lncRNA from 1 species
AGAUGUGGCACCCAAAUUGUAAGAGAAUGCUUCUUAAAAUGAACUUAAAAUCCUUAAAUGUUUAAUUUAAAAAAACAAUGAAGGAUCAAUUAUACAUAUACUCGUAGACCCUUUAUGUAAAGGGAUCCCCAUUUCUUUUUUAAAAUGGGAAUUAGGUGUGGGGCCCACUCCACAUUGAACUUCAAUGAUUUGAACUGUCUAUUUUGUAAGUCUCACUUCAUAAAUCAUCUUUGUAAAAAUUCAAUUCAAUUCGAAAUCAUUUGCCUAUUUAAUAUUAAAGUAAAAUCUCAUAGGAAAACUAAUAAAAAUGGUUUCAACAUAUAUAUUGUAUAUGUUCAUAUAUUUGUCAAUAUAUAUAUUUGUUUCAUGUGAGUCAAAGUACAAAAUUAAAUUAGAAGCAAAUACGGGUUUCCUAAACCCUAAG